AUCAAGAGUUCCAUACUCUGCCAACUGAGGUAGCCAGCCGCCCCUGCCUUGUAAGGGUUUUUGCUUUUACCCUGAAUAAGAUCAGAAACUACUGAAGGUUUUGAGCAGAGGAGUGAUAAAGUUAGACUGAAGUUUUGAAAGGAUCAUUUUGGCUUCUGUUUGAGAAUCAUUCAAAGAUGAAAGCAAGAAAACCAGGAACCUGAAUAUCACCCACAGAUAAUACACCAAACUCAUUACUGCAUUCUUCGGAGGAGCCUUUUCCGGGAACAAACACACAUUCCUAGGAGGUGGAGGGACUCUUCUAUUUCUCUGCCCUCAGGAAGUUCUGCAACGGCCUCACCUGGAAUUACGAAACUGACCUAUGAAACUAGCCUUCUCCUCAAGCCCUCCAUGGAAGAGUGACCUGACUGAGCUUUAGAACUCACUCUCAUUGGUGGCGUUCUCGGAGCUUAACUGCUUGCUCAGCAACUAUAAAAGAACUGGUAA